rnacentral:rRNA from 1 species
UGCAAGUCGAGACGCCCCGCAAGGGGAGGUGGGCAGACGGGAUGAGAUAACGACGUGGGAGACGGUCAGCCUUUCGGUUCGGGAGAUAACUUGAGGGAAACCGCGAAGCGUAAUACUCGUGAGUACUGCCCUUACCGGGAAAGGUUUACCGCUCGAGAAGAUCGGCCCGGCGGUCUGAUUAGCUAGUUGGUGAGGUAACGGCUCACCAAGGCGACGAUCAGUAGCUGGUCUGAGAGGAUGAUCAGCCACAUUGGGACUGAGACACGGCCCAAACUCCUACGGGAGGCAGCAGUGGGGAAUAUUGGACAAUGGGCGCAAGCCUGAUCCAGCCAUGCCGCGUGAGUGAUGACGGCCCUAGGGUUGUAAAGCUCUUUUACCUGGGAAGAUAAUGACGGUACCAGGAGAAUAAGCCCCGGCUAACUUCGUGCCAGCAGCCGCGGUAAUACGAAGGGGGCUAGCGUUGUUCGGAAUCACUGGGCGUAAAGCGCACGUAGGCGGACGCUUAAGUCAGGGGUGAAAUCCCGAGGCUCAACCUCGGAACUGCCUUUGAUACUGGGUGUCUUGAGUCCGGGAGAGGUGAGUGGAACUGCGAGUGUA